CCUACGGGGAGCAGCAGUGGGGAAUAUUGCGCAAUGGGCGAAAGCCUGACGCAGCGACGCCGCGUGAGGGAUGAAGGUCUUCGGAUCGUAAACCUCUGUCAGCAGGGAAGAACGGUCACUGUGCUAAUCAGCAGUGAAUUGACGGUACCUGCAAAGGAAGCACCGGCUAACUCAGUGCCAGCAGCCCCGGUAAUACGGAGGGUGCGAGCAUUAAUCGGAAUUACUGGGCGUAAAGCGCUCGUAGGCGGUAUGUCAAGUCAAGGGUGAAAGCCCCGCGCUCAACGUGGGAACUGCCUUUGAAACUGGCAAACUGGAGUGUGUGAGAGGAUAGGGGAAUUCCAGGUGUAGGAGUGAAAUCCGUAGAUAUCUGGAGGAACAUCAGUGGCGAAGGCGACUAUCUGGCACAUAACUGACGCUGAGGAGCGAAAGCGUGGGUAGCAAACAGGAUUAGAUACCCUGGUAGUC
rnacentral:rRNA from 1 species